rnacentral:rRNA from 1 species
CACGUAGGGCGCAAGCGUUGUCCGGAAUUAUUGGGCGUAAAGAGCUCGUAGGCGGUCUGUUGCGUCCGCUGUGAAAACUCGGGGCUUAACCCCGAGCCUGCAGUGGAUACGGGCAGACUAGAGGUAGGUAGGGGAGAAUGGAAUUCCCGGUGUAGCGGUGAAAUUCGUAGAUAUCGGGAGGAACACCGGUGGCGAAGGCAGGUCUCUGGGCAUUAACUGACGCUGAGGAGCGAAAGCAUGGGGAGCGAACAGG